CCCUUAGAUGUUCUGGGCCGCACGCGCGCUACACUGAUGCAUUCAACGAGUUUCUUCCUGGUCCGAGAGGAAUGGGUAACCUUUUGAAUGUGCAUCGUGAUUGGGAUAGAUGAUUGCAAUUUUUCAUCUUCAACGAGGAAUGCCUAGUAAACGCAAGUCAUCAGCUUGCAUUGAUUACGUCCCUGCCCUUUGUACACACCGCCCGUCGCUCCUACCGAUUGAAUGAUCCGAUGAAUAUCAUGGAUUGAGGAUGUAAGCAGGUUCGCCUGUCUUCAUCUUCGAGAAGUGAAGUAAAUCUUAUCAUUUAGAGGAAGGAGAAGUCGUAACA
rnacentral:rRNA from 1 species